UACCCAUGUUAAACGUUUGGGCCCAGCUGUUGUCUGGGGUGAGUUUACUAGGUCUAUAGUACUGGUACAUUAAGCUAAUUGCCUGCUCUUUAUAGCAGAGGGAUUAAACCCAUGUGCCCCCUCAC
ensembl:snoRNA